GGGUGUGUAGCUCAGAGGCAGAGCAGACGGCUGUUAACCGUCAGGUCGAGAUUUCGAAAUUCUCCACGCCCGCCA
rnacentral:tRNA from 1 species